rnacentral:misc_RNA from 1 species
CAUCAAAAAUUAUUAAAACAAUAUUGUUCGAUAAAAAUUUGAUAAAGUUUACACUUGUUGUGACUUUUAUUUAUGAAAGACCAGAAAUGGUUUCCACUAUGGACAGAUGGAUUGGCUAUGCCCUAAAGAGUAACGUUAAACACCUGAAUAUUCAAGUUGGCCCAAGUAACCAUGAUGAAAACUAUAAGUACUGCGUGCCUCAAACAGUUCUUAAUGCAAUUUCAAUACAAGUUUUAGAUUUGAGCCACUACAAGUUGCAUGUGCC